rnacentral:rRNA from 1 species
UACGUAGGGGGCAGGCGUUAACCGGAAUUACUGGGCGUAAAGCGUCCGCAGGCGGCUGCCUAAGUCUGCUGUCAAAGGCCCGGGCUUAACCCGAUAACGGCGGUGGAAACUGGGGAGCUAGAGUGCGGUAGAGGUGGGGGGAAUUCCCGGUGUAGCAGUGAAAUGCGUAGAGAUCUGGAGGAACACCGAUGGCGAAAGCAGCCCCCUGGGCCAACACUGACGCUCAUGGACGAAAGCUUGGGGAGCAAACAGG